GCGGCCGCGGAGGCGCGCAGUGGCGGGGGUAGGGGGCUCUACGGGGUGGCCGGUCCUGCUGCCGCUGCCACUGCUACCGCCGCUGCCAUAUUGGGUUCUUACUGUACAAGCAGCUUCUGUGGUCACGUGACCCCUGCCGCGCGGCCGUCACUACUGUACGCUGCAGGCCGCGCGAACGAGCGCGCACUUGCGCGCGCCCCCAGCCUCGGCGUCGGACCGGCAGGCUGCAGCAGUUAGCCACGCCCCUGCACUUCCGGUGUCUCCGCAUCGAGCCCUUGCGCACGACGGAGGGCGGCCCAUGGUCUGUGGGUCGGAUGUCUGGCGGUCACACCCGCCGGGAAGAUCUUCUGGCGGAAACAGAAUCUGCUCCUUUCGGGAAAGGCUGAUUGCGCGGUUACGUGCAGCGUGUGUUGAGGAGUGGCUCUGGAAACUUAAAGAGCCCGACGAUCAAGUGAUCUUGCCAACUACCGUUUUAAUCAGCAUGUUUUAUUUUGUUGUGGUACAGGCUCAGAGCCCAAUGCAAGCCCUGGCAGAUGUCUUCAACACCAGAGUGACACUCAGCCUGAAGGCCAGGAUUGAAGACUGGAAGUACAGGGGCAAGAAAUACCUUUGAAAAUACUCCAGUGUCCAGACUGCUCACUGGUGUUGCUGCCUUGUGAGCCAGGGCACGAGGCUUUGUUGAGGUCACUACUUUUCAUUCCCUCCAAGAUGGACAAGAUGUUUGUUUUGUGCACAGAAUGGAGCAGUGUCUUGAACGUGCUACACAAGCCCCCUAACAGCCAAGCGAAUCCAGCAGCUCUACAGACAUCCUUUCACUGAGCAGUUAUUUCUCCUCCGAUGUUCUGAUCGCUGUGGGCAGCCUCCAAACACUUUUUGAAAAAGCUGGAGAGAAAGGCGAGCUUGAAAAGGGGAAUGCAGGAUAGAGGCAAAGGGAGAGAAGCAGGCUCAACUGUGUUCAUCUCAACAGGGCUGGGGCCUGCAGGCUGCUGGCAGCACCAAGUUAAGGUGCAUUUCCACUCAACAGAAAGGCCUCCAUCCUAAACCAAGGGGGCAGAGGUUAAUGCUUUAUAUAUAUUUAUAUAUUUAUAUAUUACAUAUGUCCUAGAUAUACAUAUGUCCCAUAUGUAUAGAGUGACAAGAAUGGGCCACUUUGUGUAACUUUAAUUAAAGGCCAUAGCAACAGACAUAGAAAUUUGAUCCUAAUUAAGGCCCGUACUUUGUCAAUCAAAUGUGUGAUACAGUAAAAGAAAAAGGAGAGAGACAGAGACUGAGAUCCAGCCACCUCCAGGAGUCCUGUCUCCAGGGUAUCUUACAUUGAGUGUAGUGCCCCCUGUACAGGUGAACAUAAACACACACAUAAACACACACAUAUAAUACCACAGGCAGGAGCACCUCUUCUGACCACACCUUGGGCCCAGCCUUUGGCUGCGGUGCUGAAGUGGGGUGUAUUGUGCUAUAAGACUGUGAGGGUAGUGGACCAGACAAUGUGGAGUCAGUGUGUCCAAGUGAUGAAUGGGGUGACUCAUGCAGCUUCAUCUACAAAUGACAGAGAGCUCAGGGGGAGGUCCCUCAAUGCCCAGUUCACAUCAGGAGAUUUCUACACACAGCUCCUGUUCCAGAGAAAGCCAUUCCUCUGAUUUGAAUCCUGAGUGUCAAUCACAGGGUUCUGACAGAAACCUGGGAUCCCUUUGAAGGGCAGGCAGCCGCAAGGCUCCGCCAUUCAGUCCAGUGGAGCAGCAGAGAGCACAACAGUGGAGUCAAAGCAAAUGAUGCGCAGACAGGACCCUGAAUGGUGCAAGAGGGGCUCAUUUCCCAAAAGGUCGAGAAGGACUGCUGCCCUUUGCCACACAGAACUUCUGGCAGAUCUGUCAGCUUCAUGUCUUACAUAAGUAACAGACCUGCUCCUAAGCCAGGGAAGGAGACGCCCAACAUUAGGGCACUGGAAAUCCUAACUCCCUGUUUUCUCUCCCCGAAUUUACCCACUACCACCCACCAAAAUAUGCAUAUUGAAAAUAAGUCAACAUAUUUGGCAGUAUGUUUUUUAGUACUAAGAGAAUUUCUUAAUUUUUCAACCUAAUUUUACACUCAAUAAAUAAUAAUUAAGUAGUGAAUUGUUAAGUGCUGACAGCAGAAAUUACAAUUCCUUAUACAACAAACUGUGUGCUUAGCAGCAGCUUCUGCAUAGCUCCAGGACUUGGAAAAGAUUCAACACUGGGCUCGGCAUGGUGCUACACACCUGUAAUCUGCACUCUAGAGGCAGAGGCAGGAAAGUAGCUGUAAGCUUCAUCCGUGCUGGUCUACACAGUGUGUUCCAGGCCAGCCAGGGCUACACACAGAGAGACCCUGUCUCAGAAUAAAACAAAGCAACACAAAACAGAAAUAGAGAGCUAUCGAUCUCUUUUUCCUUGGAGGCAUAUCAGAACCACAGUUAGGGAAGGGAUCCAAGUUGGUUGGAGAACAGCUAGGACUGGGUGGUUUUAAAUGUAAACUUUUUAAUUUAUUAUUUAUUUUCUCUUGUUUGCUAUGGAGUCAAGGGAGACUUUGAACUCCUGAUCCAUCUGCCUCUGUCUCCCAGGUGCUGGGAUUAAAGGUGUGCACCACCGAACUCAGUUCAAACCCAACUGUAAGAAACUUCCUUCAUCUUUAGUUAUAUGUAUGUCUGUAUCUGUAGGAGGGUACGUUCACGUGUGCACAGGUCAAUGCAAAGGCCAUAGGAGAGUUCCAGAUCCCCUGGAGACGCCUGGUGUGGAUGCUGGAAACCCACCUUGGGUCCCUCUGGAACAGCAGCAAGUACUAUUAACCACUGAACCUUCUCUCUAGCUUUGAAAAAAAUUUUAAACAAGGUUUCAGUUUAUAGAAUGGGCUAUCAUCACUGGCAAUUCUUCUACCUCAACCUGAGUGACUCCAAACAAUUUUUGUGGAAUUGUAUAUGUACAUAUACAUAAAAACAUUUUAAAAAUAGAGACUGGGCAUCAUAGCUCACAUCUAUAACCCCAGCACCUGGGAAGCUGAGGCAGGAAUACCUCAAUUUUGAGGCAAGGUGGGCCACAGAGUAAGUGAAUACUAGUAGCAAGCCAGGACCACACAUUAAAAAAAAGAAAAAGAAGAGGAAGCAGCCAGACGUGGCUCAGCAGUUAAGAGCACAUAUUGCUCCUCCAGAAGACCUGAGUUCAAGUCCCAGCACUCACGUCAGGUGACUCACAACCACCUGUAACAACAGCUCCAGGGGGUCCAUGCCUCAAUAAUAAAAAUAAAUCUUAAAAAAAUAUGUUUUAUCUUGCAUGUAAAAAAUAAAGGUCAAUGAAAAUUAACUUUUUAAAAUAGAAAUUUACUUAUCACUUGCAAUACCUGGAGACAUUUGGGGUGGUCACAAAGGAAGGUGAGGAAGGACCAAGUCACACAAGUGGUAAAGAAUGGAUUGAUUUUUCAACAAAAUAGUGCCCCCUCCCCCAAGAUGUAACUAAGAAGUAAGAGUAAAAGGUAAAUCUGGCAAAAA
ensembl:antisense 1110002L01Rik RIKEN cDNA 1110002L01 gene